UCCCAGACUCCUACGGGAGGCAGCAGUCGGGAAUAUUGCGCAAUGGAGGAAACUCUGACGCAGUGACGCCGCGUAUAGGAAGAAGGUUUUCGGAUUGUAAACUAUUGUCGUUAGGGAAGAUAAAAGACUGUACCUAAGGAGGAAGCCCCGGCUAACUAUGUGCCAGCAGCCGCGGUAAUACGUAGGGGGCAAGCGUUAUCCGGAUUUACUGGGUGUAAAGGGAGCGCAGACGGCAGUGCAAGUCUGGAGUGAAAGCCCGGGGCCCAACCCCGGAACUGCUCUGGAAACUGUGCGGCUAGAGUACUGGAGGGGCAGGCGGAAUUCCUAGUGUAGCGGUGAAAUGCGUAGAUAUUAGGAGGAACACCAGUGGCGAAGGCGGCCUGCUGGACAGUAACUGACGUUGAGGCUCGAAAGCGUGGGGAGCAAACAGGAUUAGAUACCCUAGUA
rnacentral:rRNA from 1 species